rnacentral:rRNA from 1 species
AGCAAAUCCCUAAAAGCCAUCCCAGUUCGGAUCGCAGGCUGCAACCCGCCUGCGUGAAGUUGGAAUCGCUAGUAAUCGCGGAUCAGCAUGCCGCGGUGAAUACGUUCCCGGGCCUUGUACACACCGCCCGUCACACCAUGAGAGUCGGGAACACCCGAAGUCCGUAGCCUAACCGCAAAGGGGCGCGGCCGAAGGUGGGUUCGAUAAUUGGGGUGAAGUCGUAACAAGGUAUC